rnacentral:pre_miRNA from 1 species
AAAAAGGCAAACCCUGGGUUUCCGUGUCCAACUUUGACUGUCCGUCUUAUAUGAAAUUUUUUUAUAAUUUGUAUUUUCAUUGUUGUUAGAUGAUAAAACAUGAUUAAUAUUUUAUACGUGACUUGUCUUUUUAAUUUUUUUCAUAAUUUUUUUAAAUAAGACGGAUGGUUAAACGUUGGGCACGAAAACCAGGGUU